rnacentral:lncRNA from 1 species
CAAACUCAAAGACCAUGACCACACUAAUAUCCGCUGGUGCUUUCUCUAUCACUGGACAUGAACAGGAAGUCAAUGGGGUGAAGCCAGAGCAGAAGAUGACUGAGCAGAAAUUAACAAAGUACAUCAGUCCCAGCAUGUCCUUGAGGAGUACCUGGAACAACUAAUCUUGGGAGUCUGUGCUUCCUCUAGAGUACCAGUCAUACAGGACCGAGAGGAGGACUGAAAGACUGUGUGGGAGGCAUGGUCAGAGCAACAAUAUGUGAUGAAGACAGGAUUCUAAGGUUUGGCACUUCUUCAAAUUGGAUUAGUUGGAGGAUGUUUCAAAGUUAUGUGUGUUACCCUUGGCACUGGAUGAUUGCAACAGUAAGGUGGCAACUGGGAUAUUUCUCCAGAGCUUCUACAACAACAAAUUGAGAGUUUCACAAGCACCUGGGGCCCAGCAGAGGUUGGGAAGCCUAUUCUGGGAUUCGCCUCCAUCUAAAUGAUUUGAAAAUUCAGCUCCUGAACACAGCCAGAUUGCCGUCAGCAAUUCGAAUAAGUUUUAACAACACUGGAUCCACCUCAAGGUUAUUUCUUCAAUAUCAUACAGAAAAUAUUGUAAAUGAAGGAAAUAUGAUGCAA